GGGAUGUUAUCUCAGUGGUGGAGUACCUGCCUUCCAGGCUUGUGGCACUGGGUUGGAUUCCCAGAAUCCCA
rnacentral:tRNA from 1 species